UGAGUACGAGAUGCUAAGGCGUCGAAGUAGUGGAUGUCAUACUUCCAAGAAAAGCUUGCACUGUCAUAAGUAAAAAACGCCUGUACCAUAACCGACACAGGUGGGUAGGUAGAGUAUACUAAGGGGCGCGAGAUAACUCUCUCUAAGGAACUCGGCAAAAUGACUCCGUAACUUCGGGAGAAGGAGUGCCUUAUUCGUAAGGCUGCAAUAACAAGAUCCAAGCAAUUGUUUAUCAAAAACACAGGUCUCCGCUAAGUCGUAAGACGAUGUAUGGGGGCUGACGCCUGCCCAGUGCCAGAAGGUUAAAGAAGUCGGUUAGCAUUAGCGAAGCUGGUAACUGAAGCCCUGGUGAACGGCGGCCGUAACAAUAACGGUCCUAAGGUAGCGAAAUUCCUUGUCGGGUAAGUUCCGACCCGCACGAAAGGCGUAAUGAUUUGGAUACUGUCUCGGAGAGGGGCUCGGUGAAAUAGACUUGUCUGUGAAGAUGCGGACUACCUGCACCAGGACAGAAAGACCCUAUGAAGCUUUACUGUAACUUGAAAUUGAAAUUGGACUUUAUUCGCGCAGUAUAGGUGGGAGGUGUUGAUUAUAAUCUUGCGGGAUUAUUGGAGCCAUCAGUGAGAUACCACUCUUGUAAUGUUAGAUUUCUAACUUUGAAUCAUUAUCUGGUCAAAGAACAGUUUCAGGCGGGCAGUUUGACUGGGGCGGUCGCCUCCCAAAUGGUAACGGAGGCGUACAAAGGUUUCCUCUGAACGGGUAGAAAUCGUAUCUAGAGUGUAAAGGCAUAAGGAAGCUUGACUGUGAGACCUACAAGUCGAGCAGGGACGAAAGUCGGUCUUAGUGAUCUGACGGUACUGAGUGGAAAGGCCGUCACUCAACGGAUAAAAGUUACUCUAGGAUAACAGGCUGAUCUCCCCCAAGAGUUCACAUCGACGGGGAGGUUUGGCACCUCGAUGUCGGCUCAUCGCAUCCUGGGGCGGUAGUACGUCCCAAGGGUUGGGCUGUUCGCCCAUGAAAGCGGUACGCGAGCUGGGUUCAGAACGUCGUGAGACAGUUCGGUCCAUAUCCGGUGUAGGCGUUAGAAUAUUGAGAGGAGCCUUCUUUAGUACGAGAGGACCGAGAAGGACAUACCUCUGGUGUACCAGUUAUCGUGCCAACGGUAAACGCUGGGUAGCUAUGUAUGGAGUGGAUAACCGCUGAAAGCAUCUAAGUGGGAAGCCCACCUCAAGAUAAGUAUUCC
rnacentral:rRNA from 1 species